GACGAACGCUGGCGGCAGGCCUAACACAUGCAAGUCGAACGGCAGCACAGGGGUAGCAAUACCCUGGGUGGCGAGUGGCGGACGGGUGAGGAAUACGUCGGAAUCUGCCUAUUUGUGGGGGAUAACGUAGGGAAACUUACGCUAAUACCGCAUACGCCCUACCGGGGAAAGGACGGAGGACCGUCGGCGUUCGCGCAGAUAGAUGAGCCGACGUCGGA
rnacentral:rRNA from 1 species